rnacentral:rRNA from 1 species
UACGUAUGGUGCAAGCGUUAUCCGGAUUUACUGGGUGUAAAGGGAGCGUAGACGGUUGUAUAAGUCUGGAGUGAAAACCCGGGGCCCAACCCCGGGAGUGCAUUUGAAACUGCCAUGCUGGAGUGCCGGAGAGGUAAGCGGAAUUCCUAGUGUAGCGGUGAAAUGCGUAGAUAUUAGGAGGAACACCAGUGGCGGAGGCGGCUUACUGGACGGUAACUGACGCUGAGGCUCGGAAAAGCGUGGGGAGCAAACAGGGAUU